ensembl:lncRNA
CCCAGUCAGAUGUACUGGUAUAGAUAUCACCACCCAGUCAGAUGUACUGGUAUAGAUAUCACCACCCAGUCAGAUGUACUGGUAUAGACAUCACCACCAACCCAGUCAGAUGUACUGGUAUAGAUAUCACCACCCAAUCAGAUGAUAUAGAUAUCACCACCCAGUCAGAUGGUAUAGAUAUCACCACCAACCCAGUCAGAUGUUCUGGUAUAGAUAUCACCACCCAGUCAGAUGGUAUAGAUAUCACCACCAACCCAAUGUACUGGUAUAGAUAUCACCACCCAGUCAGAUGGUAUAGAUAUCACCACCCAGUCAGAUGUACUGGUAUAGAUAUCACCACCCAGUCAGAUGGUAUAGAUAUCACAACCCAGUCAGAUGUACUGGUAUAGAUAUCACCACCCAGUCAGAUGUACUGGUAUAGAUAUCACCACCCAGUCAGAUGUACUGGUAUAGAUAUCACAACCCAGUCAGAUGUAC